rnacentral:rRNA from 2 species
GCAUAUCAAUAAGCGGAGGAAAAGAAACCAACAGGGAUUGCCCUAGUAACGGCGAGUGAAGCGGCAACAGCUCAAAUUUGAAAUCUGGCUCUUUUAGGGUCCGAGUUGUAAUUUGCAGAGGGCGCUUUGGCGUUGGCAGCGGUCCAAGUUCUUUGGAACAGGACGUCACAGAGGGUGAGAAUCCCGUACGUGGUCGCUAUCCUUCGCCGUGUAAAGCCCCUUCGACGAGUCGAGUUGUUUGGGAAUGCAGCUCUAAAUGGGAGGUAAAUUUCUUCUAAAGCUAAAUACUGGCCAGAGACCGAUAGCGCACAAGUAGAGUGAUCGAAAGAUGAAAAGCACUUUGGAAAGAGAGUCAAAUAGCACGUGAAAUUGUUGAAAGGGAAGCGCUUGCAGCCAGACUUGCCUGUAGUUGCUUAUCCGGACUUUUGUCCGGUGCACUCUUCUGCGGGCAGGCCAGCAUCAGUUUGGGCAGUUGGAUAAAGGUCUCUGUCAUGUACCUCUCUUCGGGGAGGCCUUAUAGGGGAGACGACAUGCAACUAGCCUGGACUGAGGUCCGCGCAUCUGCUAGGAUGCUGGCGUAAUGGCUGUAAGCGGCCCGUCUUGAAACACGGACCAAGGAGUCUAACAUCUAUGCGAGUGUUUGGGUGUCAAGCCCAGACGCGUAAUGAAAGUGAACGGAGGUGGGAACCCUUUGGGUGCACCAUCGACCGAUCCUGAUGUUUUCGGAAGGAUUUGAGUAAGAGCAUGGCUGUUGGGACCCGAAAGAUGGUGAACUAUGCUUGAAUAGGGUGAAGCCAGAGGAAACUCUGGUGGAGGCUCGCAGCGGUUCUGACGUGCAAAUCGAUCGUCAAAUUUGGGCAUAGGGGCGAAAGACUAAUCGAACUAUCUAGUAGCUGGUCCUGC